rnacentral:rRNA from 1 species
UACGUAGGCAGCGAGCGUUGUUCGGAAUUACUGGGCGUAAAGAGUGUGUAGGUGGUGUCGUAAGUUUGGUGUGAAAUCUCCCGGCUUAACUGGGAGGGUGCGCCGAAGACUGCGAUGCUGGAGUAUGGGAGAGGAAAGCGGAAUUCCUGGUGUAGCGGUGAAAUGCGUAGAUAUCGGGAGGAACACCAGUAGCGAAGGCGGCACUCUGGGCCGGUACUGACGCUGAGGAGCGAAAGCGUGGGGAGCGAACAGG